GAUGAAAGAGGGGGGGGUGCAUAAUACAUGCAAGUCGAGCGAACGGACGAGAAGCUUGCUUCUCUGAUGUUAGCGGCGGACGGGUGAGUAACACGUGGAUAACCUACCUAUAAGACUGGGAUAACUUCGGGAAACCGUAGCUAAUACCGGAUAAUAUUUUGAACCGCAUGGUUCAAAAGUGAAAGACGGUCUUGCUGUCACUUAUAGAUGGAUCCGCGCUGCAUUAGCUAGUUGGUAAGGUAACGGCUUACCAAGGCAACGAUGCAUAGCCGACCUGAGAGGGUGAUCGGCCACACUGGAACUGAGACACGGUCCAGACUCCUACGGGAGGCAGCAGUAGGGAAUCUUCCGCAAUGGGCGAAAGCCUGACGGAGCAACGCCGCGUGAGUGAUGAAGGUCUUCGGAUCGUAAAACUCUGUUAUUAGGGAAGAACAUAUGUGUAAGUAACUGUGCACAUCUUGACGGUACCUAAUCAGAAAGCCACGGCUAACUACGUG
rnacentral:rRNA from 1 species